AGGAUUAGAUACUCUGGUAGUCCACGCCGUAAACGAUGUCUACUAGCCGUUGGGACUCUUGAAGUCUUAGUGGCGCAGCUAACGCACUAAGUAGACCGCCUGGGGAGUACGGCCGCAAGGUUAAAACUCAAAUGAAUUGACGGGGGCCCGCACAAGCGGUGGAGCAUGUGGUUUAAUUCGACGCAACGCGAAGAACCUUACCUGGCCUUGACAUGCAGAGAACUUUCCAGAGAUGGAUUGGUG
rnacentral:rRNA from 1 species